AGUGAUUAAGUACUUGGCUGCUAACCAAAAGAUCGGUGGUUCAAACCCACCAGCCACUC
rfam:Loxodonta africana unplaced genomic scaffold scaffold_56, whole genome shotgun sequence.